UUCAAUGAUGACUGUCCACAUACAUGAGAUUAGUUAGCUUCAAGCCCCUGUUUACAGGGAGAACCUACUUGAGGCUGCUAUAUCAUUACUUGAAAUUACUGGACCAUUCUGAGAA